rnacentral:rRNA from 1 species
AGAUUGAACGCUGGCGGCAUGCCUAACACAUGCAAGUCGAACGGGAGUAGCAAUACUCUAGUGGCGGACGGGUGAGGAAUACGUAGGAAUUUGCCCUUAAGUGGGGGAUAACCCGGGGAAACCCGGAUUCAUACCGCAUGACCUCGAAAGAGCAAAGUGGGGGAUCGCAAGACCUCACGCUUUUGGAGAAGCCUACGUCCGGAUUAGCUAGUUGGUGAGGUAAUGGCUCACCAAGGCGACGAUCCCGUAACUGGUCUGAGAGGAUGAUCAGUCACACCGGAACUGAGACACGGUCCGGACUCCUACGGGAGGCAGCGAG